rnacentral:rRNA from 1 species
CCUACGGGCGGCAGCAGUGAGGAAUAUUGGUCAAUGGACGAGAGUCUGAACCAGCCAAGUAGCGUGAAGGAUGACUGCCCUAUGGGUUGUAAACUUCUUUUAUAUGGGAAUAAAAUGUUCCACGUGUGGGAUUUUGUAUGUACCAUAUGAAUAAGGAUCGGCUAACUCCGUGCCAGCAGCCGCUGUAAUACGGAGGAUCCGAGCGUUAUCCGGAUUUAUUGGGUUUAAAGGGAGCGUAGGUGGAUUGUUAAGUCAGUUGUGAAAGUUUGCGGCUCAACCGUAAAAUUGCAGUUGAAACUGGCAGUCUUGAGUACAGUAGAGGUGGGCGGAAUUCGUGGUGUAGCGGUGAAAUGCUUAGAUAUCACGAAGAACUCCGAUUGCGAAGGCAGUUCACUGGACUGCAACUGACACUGAGGCUCGAAAGUGUGGGUAUCAAACAGGAUUAGAUACCCUAGUAGUC